rnacentral:rRNA from 1 species
UACGUAGGGGGCAAGCGUUGUCCGGAAUUAUUGGGCGUAAAGCGCGUGUAGGCGGCCAGAAAAGUCCGCUGUGAAAACUCGAGGCUCAACUUCGAGCUGUCGGUGGAAACUUUCUGGCUAGAGUCCGGAAGAGGAGAAUGGAAUUCCUGGUGUAGCGGUGAAAUGCGCAGAUAUCAGGAAGAACACCCGUGGCGAAGGCGGUUCUCUGGGCCGAUACUGACGCUGAGGAGCGAAAGCGUGGGGAGCGAACAGG